CCCUUCGAUGUUCUGGGCUGCACGCGCGCUACACUGAUAAAGUCAACGAGUUUACAACCUUUUCUGAAAGGAAUGGGUAAUCUUUUGAAACUUUAUCGUGAUGGGGAUAGAAGAUUGCAAUUAUUUUUCUUGAACGAGGAAUGCCUAGUAAUAGUGGUUCAUCAGACCGCUGUGAUUACGUCCCUGCCCUUUGUACACACCGCCCGUCGCUCCUACCGAUUGGAUGGUCCGGUGAAGCCUCGGGAUUGUGGUUCUUGCCGCUUUAUUGUGGCGUGACCGCGAGAACUUGUCUAAACCUUAUCAUCUAGAGGAAGGUGAAGUCGUAACA
rnacentral:rRNA from 1 species